UUAGGUUUUCUUCAUUUUCUUUUGGAAUUUUUCUGGGAUUCUUGUUAAAGGUUGAUGAAGAUGAUAUGAAGAUGAAAAAGAGGAGAAU
rnacentral:pre_miRNA from 1 species